rnacentral:rRNA from 1 species
AUUGCCUUAGUAGCGGCGAGUGAAGCGGCAAAAGCUCAAAUUUGAAAUCUGGCACCUUCGGUGUCCGAGUUGUAAUUUGAAGAUUGUAACCUUGGGGUUGGCUCUUGUCUAUGUUUCUUGGAACAGGACGUCACAGAGGGUGAGAAUCCCGUGCGAUGAGAUGCCCAAUCCUAUGUAAGGUGCUUUCGAAGAGUCGAGUUGUUUGGGAAUGCAGCUCUAAGUGGGUGGUAAAUUCCAUCUAAAGCUAAAUAUUGGCGAGAGACCGAUAGCGAACAAGUACAGUGAUGGAAAGAUGAAAAGAACUUUGAAAAGAGAGUGAAAAAGUACGUGAAAUUGUUGAAAGGGAAGGGUUUGAGAUCAGACUCGAUAUUUUGUGAGCCUUGCCUUCGUGGCGGGGUGACCCGCAGCUUAUCGGGCCAGCAUCGGUUUGGGCGGUAGGAUAAUGGCGUAGGAAUGUGACUUUGCUUCGGUGAAGUGUUAUAGCCUGCGUUGAUGCUGCCUGCCUAGACCGAGGACUGCGAUUUUAUCAAGGAUGCUGGCAUA